CCUACGGGAGGCAGCAGUGGGGAAUAUUACACAAUGGGGGAAACCCUGAUGCAGCGACGCCGCGUGAGUGAAGAAGGAAUUAGGUAUGUUAAGCUCUAUCAGCAGGGAAGAAAAUGACGAUACCUGAGUAUGAAGCACCGGCUCACGACGUGCCAGCAGCCGCGGUAAUACGGAGGGGGCAAGGGUUAUCCGGAUUUACUGGGUGUAAAGGGAGCGUAGACGGCAGUGCAAGACUGGAGUGAAAGGGGGGGGCUCAACCCCCGGACUGCACUGGAAACUGGACGGCUGGAGUACAGGUGAGGUAAGUGGAAUUCGUAGUGUAGCGGUGAAAUGCGUAGAUAUUAGGAAGAACACCGAUUGCGAAGGCGGCUUACUGGACUGUAACUGACGUUGAGGCUCGAAAGCGUGGGGAGCAAACAGGAUUAGAUACCCCUGUAGUC
rnacentral:rRNA from 1 species